AGCAGCCGCCGCGGUAAUACGUAGGUGGCGAGCGUUGUCCGGAAUUAUUGGGCGUAAAGGGAGCGCAGGCGGACAUAUAAGUCCGUCUUAAAAGUGCGGGGCUCAACCCCGUGAGGGGAUGGAAACUGUAUGCCUUGAGUGCAGGAGAGGAAAGCGGAAUUCCCAGUGUAGCGGUGAAAUGCGUAGAUAUUGGGUGGAACACCAGUGGCGAAGGCGGCUUUCUGGACUGUAACUGACGCUGAGGCUCGAAAGCCAGGGGAGCGAACGGGAUUAGAUACCCGAGUAGUCCCUGUCUCUUAUACC
rnacentral:rRNA from 1 species